UACGUAGGGGGCUAGCGUUGUCCGGAAUCAUUGGGCGUAAAGCGCGCGUAGGCGGCCAGAUAAGUCCGGUGUGAAAGUCACAGGCUCAACCUGUGAAUGCCGCUGGAAACUGUCUGGCUAGAGUCCGGAAGGGGCGAGGUGGAAUUCCUGGUGUAGCGGUGAAAUGCGCAGAUAUCAGGAGGAACACCGGUGGCGAAGGCGGGUCUCUGGGCCGAUACUGACGCUGAGGAGCGAAAGCGUGGGGAGCGAACAGG
rnacentral:rRNA from 1 species